UCCGCAGGCGGGCAAUUAAGUCAGAGGCGAAAUCCCACAGCUCAACUGUGGAACUGCCUUUGAUACUGGUUGUCUUGAGUUAUAGUGAAGUAGAUAGAAUAUGUAGUGUAGCGGUGAAAUGCAUAGAUAUUACAUAGAAUACCGAUUGCGAAGGCAGUCUACUAACUAUAUACUGACGCUGAUGGACGAAAGCGUGGGGAGCGAACAGGAUUAGAUACCCUGGUAGUCC
rnacentral:rRNA from 1 species